UACCGGGCUUGAUCGAAGACCACAUAAUUAUGAUUCGAAACAUAUGUGUGGUUCAAAAGUAAGCCCAAAGCAAUUUUUGUUACGACGGUCACUGAAGGUCUUGAUUUCGACUCUUUGGUAACACAUACGUGCAAUUACAAAU